rnacentral:tRNA from 1 species
GCCUGGGUGGCUCAGUGGUUGAGCAUCCGACUUCGGCUCAGGUCAUGAUCUCGCAGUUCCUGAGUUCAAGCCCCAGGUCAGGCU